AUAAGUAAACAUAACCUGUCAAAACUGAAAAGUUUGAGUGUUUAAACUAACAUAUACAGUGGUCUAUUUAGUGGUGUAUGUGCCCUGACUAAGUUUGUGUGUCAUAUAAAUCACAAUUUGUGUUGAUACAAGUACCAAUGUUCUUGUAGAAACAUUUUAAUCACUU